rnacentral:rRNA from 1 species
UACGGGGGGGCAAGCGUUGUUCGGAAUUAUUGGGCGUAAAGAGCUCGUAGGCGGUUUGUCGCGUCUGCUGUGAAAAUCCAGGGCUUAACCCUGGACCUGCAGUGGGUACGGGCAGACUAGAGUGCGGUAGGGAGAUCGGAAUUCCUGGUGUAGCGGUGAAAUGCGCAGAUAUCGAGGAGGAACACCGGUGGCGAAGGCGGGUCUCUGGGCCGAUGAUGACGCUGAGGAGCGAAAGCGUGGGAGCGAACAGG